CAGUCGCCACGGGAAUACGGAGGGUGCAAGCGUUAAUCGGAAUUACUGGGCGUAAAGCGCACGCAGGCGGUCUGACAAGUCAGAUGUGAAAUCCCCGGGCUUAACCUGGGAACUGCAUUUGAAACUGUCAGGCUGGAGUCUUGUAGAGGGGGGUAGAAUUCCAGGUGUAGCGGUGAAAUGCGUAGAGAUCUGGAGGAAUACCGGUGGCGAAGGCGGCCCCCUGGACAAAGACUGACGCUCAGGUGCGAAAGCGUGGGGAGCAAACAGGAUUAGAUACCCGCGUAGUCCCUGUCUCUUAUAC
rnacentral:rRNA from 1 species